rnacentral:rRNA from 1 species
GACGAACGCUGGCGGCGUGCUUAACACAUGCAAGUCGAACGGAAAGGCCCUGCUUUUGUGGGGUGCUCGAGUGGCGAACGGGUGAAUAACACGUGAGUAACCUGCCCUUGACUUUGGGAUAACUUCAGGAAACUGGGGCUAAUACCGGAUAGGAGCUCCUGCUGCAUGGUGGGGGUUGGAAAGUUUCGGCGGUUGGGGAUGGACUCGCGGCUUAUCAGCUUGUUGGUGGGGUAGUGGCUUACCAAGGCUUUGACGGGUAGCCGGCCUGAGAGGGUGACCGGCCACAUUGGGACUGAGAUACGGCCCAGACUCCUACGGGAGGCAGCAGUGGGGAAUAUUGCACAAUGGGCGGAAGCCUGAUGCAGCAACGCCGCGUGCGGGAUGGCGGCCUUCGGGUUGUAAACCGCUUUCGCCUGUGACGAAGCGUGAGUGACGGUAAUGGGUAAAGAAGCACCGGCUAACUACGUG